UGCCAAUGUCUCCGUUACCGGUUGUGGGUCGGAUUCGAUUUGCUGGGUGGGGCCUUCUUCAAGCUAGUCUCUAUGGGUUUGUGGGGAUCCUCCAUUGCUUUGUUGGGCUUGUUUUGGUUCGAAGAAAAUGUGGCUACUGAAGGGAGCAAUCUUCUGGGUUGGUUUCUGGGUCUGAUCAGAUGGCUUUGUGGGUCUGAAAGUUGAGAACUUUGGGAAAUGUGGAGCAUGAGAAUGAGGGCGAAGAAGGAAAGCAAGAGUCUUUGAGUUCUGGGUUUCAUGGCUGAGAUUGAAGAAGAGAGAAUGGAGUAGAGCUUAGGAGAAUCGAUGAAGUUGCAGACUCACAGUGCAUGCUUUGAUAAAAGCAUGUGGUCUAUGUCAGCACUCAGCAGGACUAUGAUAGAACACGCUGAUCACAUCUAA
rnacentral:lncRNA from 1 species